CUGGAAUUGACAGCUACUGUGCAAACAAAAAAAGGAAACAAGCAUGCUGGGACCAUUCUGACUGCUGUUUGGGUCUCACUUGUCCUGACAACUAAAAAUCAUCAGUGGAAAGAGGCCAUAAAGAUGAAUAGAGUAAGAAUAUAACAGAGGCUCUUUGACUGGCACAGAAGAGGAUUAUACUUCCCUGCCCUUUCUGAAGUGAGGCAAAGCUAUUUGAUAUGCUUUGUCCAGUGAAAGUUAUGAGCCAUCAAUGCCAAGGUGAUAUUACGGAUUCUCUAACAUACUCCUUUUGACAAAAUCUUGCUGGGCGGCUGGAUGGCUGAGUCGGUUAAGUACUGGACUCUUGAUAUCGGUUCAGCUCAUGAUCUUGCUGCCGUGAGACUGAGCCCCACAUCGGACUCCAUGU